UUUAUAGUGGCAGACAAAUGCAUUAAUUCUAAGAAUUACUAAUUAUCUAUGGCG
rnacentral:tRNA from 1 species